AGGUAGCGGGGUCCUGGAAGAGGAUGAUCCGCCACACUGGGAUGAGACACGGCCCAGACUCCUACGGGAGGCAGCAGUGGGGAAUUUUGGACAAUGGGCGCAAGCCUGAUCCAGCCAUGCCGCGUGUCUGAAGAAGGCCUUCGGGUUGUAAAGGACUUUUGUCAGGGAGCAAAACUUACUGGUUAAUACCUGGUGAGGUUGAGAGUACCUGAAGAAUAAGCACCGGCUAACUACGUGCCAGCAGCCGCGGUAAUACGUAGGGUGCAAGCGUUAAUCGGAAUUACUGGGCGUAAAGCGUGCGCAGGCGGACUUUUAAGCCAGAUGUGAAAGCCCCGAGCUUAACUUGGGAAUUGCGUUUGGAACUGGGAGUCUAGAGUCUGUCAGAGGGGGAUGGAAUUCCACGUGUAGCAGUGAAAUGCGUAGAGAUGUGGAGGAACACCGAUGGCGAAGGCAGUCCCCUGGGAUAAGACUGACGCUCAUGCACGAAAGCGU
rnacentral:rRNA from 1 species